GUAACAUCAGUGCAGGGUUAUUCGCUAUCGUUCGCUGUCUGGAACUCGAUGGCCACAUUCCGCCAGCAGGAGCCAGUAUGAAUGACCUGGGAUCGAACAUCAGAGGAACAGGAGUUUUCUUGCUCACGCUGAACUGGUAUUUGGACAGAAGAGAAACCAGUCCCACCUUGGUUUGCAUCAAUCCGAACCGCAUCCCUGGAACCGAUGAUUAUGCAUUGCCACAUUCCUCCAGCAGGAGUCAGUAGGAAUGAUUUCCCAUUGAAAACCAGAGGAACAGGAGUUUUCUUGCUUACACUGAACUGGUAUUUGGACAGAAGAGAAACCAGUCCCACCUUGGUUUGCAUCAAUCCGAACCGCAUUCCUGGAACCGAUGUUUAUGCACUGCCACAUUCCUCCAGCAGGAGUCAGUAUGAAUGACUUCCCAUCGAAAACCAGAGGAACAGGAGUUUUCUUGCUUACACUGAACUGGUAU